rnacentral:lncRNA from 1 species
GGGUCCUCCAGGGCCACAAGCGAGUCAUCCUGCCCCACGAAGGGGUCCUCCAGCACCAUGAGUGAGUCCUCCUGCCCCACAAGCGGGUCCUCCAGCCCCGUAAGUGGGUCCUCCAGGGCCACAAGGGGGUCCUCCUGCCCCACCAGUGAGUCCUCCUGCGGCACAAGGGGGUCCUCCAGGGCCACAGCCCGGUCCUCCUGCCCCACAAGCGGGUCCUCCUGCCCCACGAGGGGGUCCUCCUGCCCCACGAGGGGGUCCUCCUGCCCCACGAGGGGGUCCUCCUGCCCCACAUCCCAGUCCUCCAGCUCCAUAAUUCAGCCCUCAGCCCCACAAGUGAGUCCUCCAGCCCCACAGCCCAGUCCCUCAGAGGGGAAAGGAAUUGCCAAGCUGAAAAGAAGAAGGAAGGAAUUGCCAAGGGGAAAAAGGAAGAGGAGAGCAAGGGAAAAGGGGGACUGCCAGGGGAAAAGGGGAAACUGCCAGGGGGGAAACAGGGGAAACUGCCAGGGGGGAAACAGNNNNNNNNNNNNNNNNNNNNNNNNGGGAAACUGCCAAGGGGAAAAGAGGAAGGAGGAGACCGGGAAAUCGGAAAAGAGGGGAGCGGGAAACAGGGAAUUGAGAGUGGGAAAAGGGAAGGAGGAGAGCGGGGAAAAAGGAAUUGAGCGGGGGAAAAAGGGCACGAGGAGAGCCAGCAAUGAACUGGAAUAGAAGAAAGGAGAUGGAAGGACGGGGGAGAGGAAAAGGGAAUUGGGACGGGAGGAAAAAAGGACGGGGGAGGAAAGAGGGAACUGGGAUGGGGGAAACGGGGGCUGGGAUGGGAGGGAGAGGGGACGAAGGGGAAAGAGAGAAAGGAAUGGGGGACGAGGGGGGAAAGGAAGAGAAUGGGAAGCAGCAAAUGGAAGAAAGCCCUGAGCCCCACAAGUGAGUCCUCCAGCCCCACAAGUGAGUCCUCCAGCCCCACAAGUGAGUCCUCCAGCCCCACAAGUGAGUCCUCCAGCGCCACACUGAGCUCCUCCAGCCGCACAUCCAAGUCCUCCAGCCCCACAUCCAAGGUCCUCCAAGGCUGCUCCCGAGUCCUCCAGCCCAACGAGCGAGUGCUUAAGAUGCAGAAGUGAGUCCUCCAGCCCCACAUGCCAGUCCUCCUGCCCCACAGCCCGGUCCUCCCGCCCCACAGCCCGGUCCUCCCGCCCCACAGCCCGGUCCUCCAGCUCCAUAAUUGACUCCUCCAGCCCCACAUCUCAGGUCCUUGAGGGCCGCCCCCAAGUCCUCCAGCCCCACAUCCCAGUCCUCCAGCUCCAUAAGGGAGUCCUCCAGCCCCACAGCCCGGUCCUCCAGCCCCACAGCCCGGUCCUCCAGCCCUUAAUUGAGAACUCCAGCCCCACAGCCCAGUCCUCCAGCUCCAUA